UUGCGGUUAUACAACUUCUCUCCAACAAACAUUCCAAGGUUUUUUUGGAAUGUGUCUACUCUCCUUCCUGCACCUGCUCUUCUUAGCCAGCACCACAAAACUAGGUUCCUACCACAUUAAAACUUAUACUUGUGUUGCUGUGUAAGUCUGCUUUUAUGGACUACUAUCGGGGCACAAAGAUUGAAGAACCAUGGCCAGACUUAUGUGAAAGACUGACUUCAGUUAUGAGCGACAUCAGUUCUACCACUAUUAGAGGACCACCUAAGAGAAGAGACAUCCCUAUUCUGCUUGGGAAUGGGCACAUAGCCUGGAGAUCUGGAAGCUGUUAUUGGCUUCUGAGGAGUUAGCUGGGAUCUUAUAAAAGCACUGAGCCCUUCAA